CAAGAUAUCAGUUUUACAAUAAAGCACACUGACAACCCACACAUACAAUUAUAACAUAAUUUUUUUCCUAUUUUUUUCUCCAUGUACAUACAUAAUUUGU